rnacentral:rRNA from 1 species
GAUGAACGCUGGCGGCGUGCCUAAUACAUGCAAGUCGAGCGAACGGACGAGAAGCUUGCUUCUCUGAUGUUAGCGGCGGACGGGUGAGUAACACGUGGAUAACCUACCUAUAAGACUGGGAUAACUUCGGGAAACCGGAGCUAAUACCGGAUAAUAUUUUGAACCGCAUGGUUCAAAAGUGAAAGACGGUCUUGCUGUCACUUAUAGAUGGAUCCGCGCUGCAUUAGCUAGUUGGUAAGGUAACGGCUUACCAAGGCAACGAUGCAUAGCCGACCUGAGAGGCUGAUCGGCCACACUGGAACUGAGACACGGUCCAGACUCCUACGGGAGGCAGCAGUGGGGAAUAUUGGACAAUGGGCGCAAGCCUGAUCCAGCCAUCCCGCGUGGGUGAAGAAGGCCUUCGGGUUGUAAAGCCCUUUUGUUGGGAAAGAAAAGCAGCAGGUUAAUACCCCGCUGUUCUGACGGUACCCAAAGAAUAAGCACCGGCUAACUUCGUG